rnacentral:rRNA from 1 species
UAGAGKUUKAUCCKGSYCAGGACGAAMGCUGGCGGCGUGCSUAAUACAUKCAAGUCGARCGAACUCUGGUAUUGAUUGGUGCUUGCAUCAUGAUUUACAUUUGAGUGAGUGGCGAAMUGGUGAGUAACACGUGGGAAACCUGCCCAGAAGCGGGGGAUAACACCUGGAAACAGAUGCUAAUACCGCAUAACAACUUGGACCGCAUGGUCCGAGUUUGAAAGAUGGCUUCGGCUAUCACUUUUGGAUGGUCCCGCGGCGUAUUAGCUAGAUGGUGRGGUAACGGCUCACCAUGGCAAUGAUACGUAGCCGACCUGAGAGGGUAAUCGGCCACAUUGGGACUGAGACACGGCCCAAACUCCUACGGGAGGCAGCAGUAGGGAAUCUUCCACAAUGGACGAAAGUCUGAUGGAGCAACGCCGCGUGAGUGAAGAAGGGUUUCGGCUCGUAAAACUCUGUUGUUAAAGAAGAACAUAUCUGAGAGUAACUGUUCAGGUAUUGACGGUAUUUAACCAGAAAGCCACGGCUAACUACGUGCCAGCAGCCGCGGUAAUACGUAGGUGGCAAGCGUUGUCCGGAUUUAUUGGGCGUAAAGCGAGCGCAGGCGGUUUUUUAAGUCUGAUGUGAAAGCCUUCGGCUCAACCGAAGAAGUGCAUCGGAAACUGGGAAACUUGAGUGCAGAAGAGGACAGUGGAACUCCAUGUGUAGCGGUGAAAUGCGUAGAUAUAUGGAAGAACACCAGUGGCGAAGGCGGCUGUCUGGUCUGUAACKACGCKAGGCCGAAAGUAUGGWGCCAGAAUA